UCUGUCUGAGGUGGUGGAUUUCGUAGCAACCACACGCCAUAUUGGCCAAAAGAGACGCAGGAGAAUGCUACGCCUGCCGGGCAGG
rnacentral:ncRNA from 12 species